rnacentral:rRNA from 1 species
GGGAAACUGAGAAUAAUACUCCAUAGGUCUAGGAUGCUGGAAUGCACUUAGGCUCAAAACUUCGGUGCCCUAGGAUGAGUCUGCGGACUAUCAGGUUGUAGUCAGGGUAAAGACCUGACUAGCCUACGACGGAUACGGGUUGUGAGAGCAAUAACCCGGAGAUGAUAUCUGAGACACGAUAUCAGGCCCUACGGGGCGCAGCAGGCGCGAAAACUUCGCACUGCGCGAAAGCGCGACGAGGGAAUCCCAAGUGUAUGCACGUAAGUGUAUACUGUUUUUCUGUCUAAAAAGCAGAGAGAGUAAGAGCUGGGUAAGACGGGUGCCAGCCGCCGCGGUAAUACCUGCAGCUCGAGUGGUGAUCGUUAUUAUUGGGCCUAAAACGUCCGUAGCCGGUCUUGUAAAUGCCCGGGUAAAUCGUAUGGCUUAACCAUACGAAUUCUGGGUAGACUGUUAGACUUGAGACCGGGAGAAGCUAGAGGUACUCCUGGGGUAGAGGUGAAAUUCUGUAAUCCUAGGGGGACCACCAGUGGCGAAGGCGUCUAGCUAGAACGGGUCUGACGGUGAGGGACGAAGCCCUGGGGCGCAAACGGGAUUAGAUACCCCGGUAGUCCAGGGUGUAAACGCUGCUUGCUUGAUGUUAGUCGAGCUCCGAGCUCGAUUAGUGUCGGAGAGAAGUUGUUAAGCAAGCUGCCUGGGAAGUACGGCCGCAAGACUGAAACUUAA